rnacentral:snoRNA from 1 species
AAGCCUGGCCUCUACAGUUUAUUAUUAGAGAAGUUUCUCUGAUUGUGUUGGCCUCAGGAAGCCAUGAGGAGGAGGUACAGCAUUCUCUCCUGAGCCUGCAGCUGGCUCUUGGUGUUGUUUUUCUGAAACUCCCACUUGCCGCUGAUGGUUAUUCUUCUCUUCCUCUGGGAGGGCAAGUGGGAGAGGAUGCAGCCUGGGU